rnacentral:rRNA from 1 species
CGUUGAUAGGUCAGGUGUGUAAGUGCUGUGAGGCAUUGAGCUAACUGAUACUAAUUGCCCGUGAGGCUUAACCAUACAACACCCAAGGGGUUU